rnacentral:rRNA from 1 species
GACGAACGCUGGCGGCGUGCUUAACACAUGCAAGUCGAACGGUGAAGCGCUUGCCUUUUUGGUGGGUGUGGAUGAGUGGCGAACGGGUGAGUAACACGGGAGUAACCUGCCCUCUUCUUCUGGAUAACCUCAUGAAAGUGGGGCUAAUACGGGGUAUUCCGGGUCUGUCGCAUGGCGGGUUUGGGAAAGAUUGCGCCUUUGGGUGUUUUCGGUGGGGGAUGGGCUCGCGGCCUAUCAGCUUGUUGGUGGGGUGAUGGCCUACCAAGGCGGUGACGGGUAGCCGGCCUGAGAGGGUGGACGGCCACACUGGGACUGAGACACGGCCCAGACUCCUGCGGGAGGCAGCAGUGGGGAAUAUUGCACAAUGGGCGCAAGCCUGAUGCAGCGACGCCGCGUGAGGGAUGGAGGCCUUCGGGUUGUGAACCUCUUUCGCCAGUGAAGCAGGCCUGCUCCUGUGUGGGUGGGUUGACGGUAGCUGGAUAAGAAGCGCCGGCUAACUACGUG